rfam:Citrus clementina cultivar Clemenules unplaced genomic scaffold scaffold_3, whole genome shotgun sequence.
CUUGGGAAAUGAUGAUACAAGCAUAUUAUCUUAAGCUAGCAGCGGUGUUGAAUGUAUAUUAUUUGCACGUCAGUCUGAUCCCAAC